GCAUGGCCCCGGCCCGGCCCCGCCUCGGGAGGAGCGGAGGAGGGACCGGGGGCGGCCGCGCGGGGCGGGGUGCGGGCACUGAGGGAUGCCCGGUGCGGGUUCGCGGGUCAGGCGCUCGGGGGGGUUUGUGGGGCGCUCAGUACCCCCUGCCGUGUCCCCCGGCACCACCGAACAGAGCCCGGCCCCCUCCUCCUGACCCCCGCCCCUCACAUAGAUCAGCACCCAUCAGACGAAGACAUCUCCAUUUGCUGAUGGGCACGGAGGUGAUUAGCGGGGAAGCGCAGCCCUUUGCCUCUCCAGCAGACAGAAGAGCUCCCCACCUUACUGCUCAAAACCUUCCUUAUGAACUACAUACUUCCGCCCUUGACCUUCAGUAACAGCAGUCUUAUCCUUGCAGCCUUCUCUCAACACCGGAAUACAGGACCCGACCUUCCCCCACAGUGAGGUAUGAGCACCAAAAGGUGCCCCAGAGACACCUCCCAGGGAUACGUCCUCUUCGCAAAGCUCUCUGAACUCAUUUGCUCUCUACCUCCAUUCAUUUCACUGACAAACUGGUUUAGUGACACCACCAUUCACCUGUGUGUCCCUGGAAAACUUCAUUUCAGGAAUCCAUGAGCCAAAAAUGCAUCCUAAUUCCCACAUGUUGACCACAACGUCCACGUAGAGCACCACCUCAUACAUCUGUAGGUUUGUGAAAGAAGAUUCCCAGAUCUCAGCAGUACAGAAGCAACCCUGCUCUCCAGCCAAGCACUGUCACAUCUGCAGGCCAAUGUGCUGUAUUGGAUCUACAAAGCUUAGAGAUCUCUUCUUAAAAGUGAAGCAGAAUGGUAUCACAUAUUUACAUUAAGGUCCAUGAAAAAUAAACAGGUCAGAGCACUUUAA